UACGUAGGGGGCAAGCGUUGUCCGGAAUGAUUGGGCGUAAAGAGCGUGUAGGCGGCUAGGUAGGUCCGUUGUGAAAACUCGAGGCUCAACCUCGAGACGUCGAUGGAAACCAUCUAGCUAGAGUCCGGAAGAGGAGAGUGGAAUUCCUGGUGUAGCGGUGAAAUGCGCAGAUAUCAGGAAGAACACCCGUGGCGAAGGCGGCUCUCUGGUACGUGACUGACGCUGAGACGCGAAAGCGUGGGGAGCAAACAGG
rnacentral:rRNA from 1 species